UAGCUCUGAAGCGCCACCAGCUUCCUGGGGCAAACCAGAAUGGCGAAGCCCUGGAACAGUGAUAUUCACUUCGAAGAAGGCUAUCUCGGAUCUCUCUUCUGGAAUGGAGGUGUGUGAUGCCAAGCUCGUGAAUUUGUCUAUGAUAUGAGCGGUGACAAGAAUUUGAUUUGAAUUUUGAGGUGAAAAAUUGGGGGCAAUUAUGCCCAUAAAAAGUUAAGCUCGAUUUACUGUAGCAUUGAGUUUUUGGAACUGAGGGUGACCCCAAGUUGAAUUUUCGGUGUUGAAUAGUGAUUUUGCAUCGGGCCAGUGACAUAAUGCGGGCCUUCCACUUUAUUGGACUUACAAAU
rnacentral:lncRNA from 1 species